AUUGAACGCUGGCGGCAUGCCUUACACAUGCAAGUCGAACGGUAACAGGUCUUCGGAUGCUGACGAGUGGCGAACGGGUGAGUAAUACAUCGGAACGUGCCCGAUCGUGGGGGAUAACGGAGCGAAAGCUUUGCUAAUACCGCAUACGAUCUACGGAUGAAAGCAGGGGACCGCAAGGCCUUGCGCGGACGGAGCGGCCGAUGGCAGAUUAGGUAGUUGGUGGGAUAAAAGCUUACCAAGCCGACGAUCUGUAGCUGGUCUGAGAGGACGACCAGCCAAACUGGGACGGAGACACGGCCCAGACUCCUACGGGAGGCAGCAGUGGGGAAUUUUGGACAAUGGGCGAAAGCCUGAUCCAGCCAUGCCGCGUGCAGGAUGAAGGCCUUCGGGUUGUAAACUGCUUUUGUACGGAACGAAAAGACUCUUUCUAAUAAAGAGGGUCCAUGACGGUACCGUAAGAAUAAGCACCGGCUAACUACGUGCCAGCCGCCGCUGUAAAAC
rnacentral:rRNA from 1 species